CGUUUCUUUGUGACCAGUUACAGUGCAGCCAAACUAGUCCCCUUCCCCCUUUCGCCCUUCAGGACAUUUUUAACUUCCCAAUCCCAAACCCUAACCCUGAACAGAUCAAUUUUCCCGCUUUUUUCUUUUCUUUCAAACAUCAAAUUUCCGAGAAAAUUCUACAAUUCUCAAUUCUUACUGAACCCUCAAAAGACUCAGGUCCUCUGCCCUCUUCCUGGACAAAUUAAAGGCCCCAUUCAGUCUUAUCGAAGUCCAACACUGCAUCUUCAACGGGGCGUCAAGUGCUAAAUCAUGUUGUUCUCGACAUUCGCAUUAGGCUCAGCUACAGGUGCUUCUGUAAACUCAAGCUUGUAUCCCUGGAGACUGUAGGCAUUCUGAAGAGCUAUUCCAAUGGCAUACUUGCACUUGAUAAUACACUGGUUGUAGCACUUCUGAAGACUUGACCUCAUUGGAUGAUGGAUAUUCUAGUUCUAAUUUAUUAUUGAGAGGUGGGUCAGGACUUCAUAAUGUUGGUUGAAUGGAAACUGAAUUGAAAAUUUGCUGGGAGUAUUGCAUUUCAUUGUCCAGAGAUAGGAAGGCUUCCUGAACCUCAAGAUAUUUUUUUUCUUAAAUCUUAACAGAUGGAAAACCUGAUCAAGGACGGCUUUAUCUGAAAGGUAUUACUCACUCUGACACAAAGAAAUCAUCAAGUUUUCAUCCCCAUAUGAUAACUGCUUAGGCAAGGAAAGAAGUAACAGUUUUAAAUCUGACGGUGAAGUCAUAUAUGUGAAAGGUUCCCUGAGGAGAAAAAACCCUGGUGAUUCUGUUGGAUGGUCUUGUGUUUUUAUAUAGCAUGGAAGUAGGGAUCUGCUAUAUCAUUGCUUUCAUGAAGAAGGAUGCGAUUCUUGAUAAUAUUCUAUCCAACCACUUUUGGCUUUAAGCAUUCGGAUGUUUGUUUACCUGGACAUGAUGCUUUUUUUCUCUGUUCUCGGUCUCUGAAAGUACACACAAAGUCCCAGAACCAAAUUCUCUACCUCAUGUGAAGAAUUUUUUGCUAUUGUUGGUAUUAUAAUUAUUUAUUGUUCAUCAUAUUAGUAGUUUGAAUCUCUCCCUAAAGCUGGAUAAUGUGGUUUGUUUAAUCCUUUAAAAUCAUGGUUUGAUCUUUCUUGGGUUUGAACA